CAGCUCUCCGAGUAGUGUGGACGCUUAUUGGGCCUAAAGCAUCCGUAGCUUGCUAGAUAAGUCCUCUGUUAAAUCCACCGAUUCAAUCGUUGGAUUGCGGGGGAUACUGUUUGGCUAGGGGACGGGAGAGGUCGACGGUAUUUCCGGGGUAGGGGUGAAAUCCUAUAAUCCCGGGAGGACCACCAGUGGCGAAGGCUGUCGACUAGAACGCGCCCGACGGUGAGGGAUGAAAGCUGGGGGAGCGAACCGGAUUAGAUACCCGAGUAGUCC
rnacentral:rRNA from 1 species